rnacentral:rRNA from 1 species
GACGAACGCUGGCGGCGUGCUUAACACAUGCAAGUCGAACGGUGAAGCGCCUUCCUUUUUGGUGGGUGUGGAUGAGUGGCGAACGGGUGAGUAACACGUGAGGAACCUGCCCCCGUCUUCUGGAGAACCGCAUGAAAGUGUUGCUAAUACGGGAUAUUCUGGGUCUGUCGCAUGAUGGGUCUGGGAAAGAUAUUGUUUCGGUGGGGGAUGGGCUCGCGGCCUAUCAGCUUGUUGGUGGGGUGAUGGCCUACCAAGGCGGUGACGGGUAGCCGGCCUGAGAGGGUGGACGGUCACACUGGGACUGAGACACGGCCCAGACUCCUACGGGAGGCAGCAGUGGGGAAUAUUGCACAAUGGGCGCAAGCCUGAUGCAGCGACGCCGCGUGAGGGAUGGAGGCCUUCGGGUUGUGAACCUCUUUCGCCAGUGAAGCAGGCCUGCCUCGUUUGUGGGUGGGUUGACGGUAGCUGGAUAAGAAGCGCCGGCUAACUACGUG